rnacentral:rRNA from 1 species
UACGUAGGGGGCAAGCGUUGUCCGGAUUUAUUGGGCGUAAAGAGCGUGUAGGCGGCCAGGUAGGUCUGCUGUGAAAACUCGAGGCUUAACCUCGAGCUGUCGGCGGAAACCAUCUGGCUAGAGUCCGGAAGAGGAGAAUGGAAUUCCCGGUGUAGCGGUGAAAUGCGCAGAUAUCGGGAAGAACACCCGUGGCGAAGGCGGUUCUCUGGGCCUGUUCUGACGCUGAGGCGCGAAAGCUAGGGGAGCGAACAGG